rnacentral:rRNA from 1 species
ACCUUCGGGUCUAGCGGCGGACGGGUGAGUAACGCGUGGGAACGUGCCCUUCUCUACGGAAUAGCCCCGGGAAACUGGGAGUAAUACCGUAUACGCCCUUUGGGGGAAAGAUUUAUCGGAGAAGGAUCGGCCCGCGUUGGAUUAGGUAGUUGGUGGGGUAAUGGCCCACCAAGCCGACGAUCCAUAGCUGGUUUGAGAGGAUGAUCAGCCACACUGGGACUGAGACACGGCCCAGACUCCUACGGGAGGCAGCAGUGGGGAAUCUUAGACAAUGGGGGCAACCCUGAUCUAGCCAUGCCGCGUGAGUGAUGAAGGCCUUAGGGUUGUAAAGCUCUUUCAGCUGGGAAGAUAAUGACGGUACCAGCAGAAGAAGCCCCGGCUAACUCCGUGCCAGCAGCCGCGGUAAUACGGAGGGGGCUAGCGUUGUUCGGAAUUACUGGGCGUA